AAAUGAUAUCCAAAUUUGGUUUGUUGUCAAUUAAUUUUGGGGAUUUGGGCUCUGCAGAAUUAAUUUUAGUUCAGCUGGCCUUAAACGAUUUAGUCAUAUUGUAAAAGUUUUGGGUGACAAGGCGUAAUAGUUGGUACUUUCGGGUCCAUCCCUUUCGCUGAAGCCUAUCCUUUUUAUCAAAUUUUGGCUCAAUAAUAUGGAAAAAUGAUAUAUAUAUAUCAUUA
rnacentral:misc_RNA from 1 species